rnacentral:rRNA from 1 species
GACGAACGCUGGCGGCGUGCCUAAUACAUGCAAGUAGGACGCAGUUGCGAACGGGUGAGUAACGCGUAUGUAACUGCCUAUUUGAGGGGGAUAACUAUUGUAAACGAUAGCUAAUACCGCAUACUAGUAGAUGGACCUGCGUUGUAUUAGCUAGUAGGUUGGGUAAUGGCCUACCUAGGCGACGCUACAUAGCCGACCUUAGGAGGUGAUCUGCAAAAUUGGGACUGAGCAAAGGCUCCGACUCCUACGGGAGGGAGCAGUAGGGGAACUUCGGAAAUGGGGGGAAACCUGACCGAGCAACGCCGCGUGAGUGAAGAAGGUUUUCGGAUCGUAAAGCUCUGUUGUUAAGGAAGCGGUACUUAACCAGAAAGGGACGGCUAACUACGUGCCAGCAGCCGCGGUAAUAC